rnacentral:rRNA from 1 species
AUUGAACGCUGGCGGCAGGCCUAACACAUGCAAGUCGAGCGGAUGAGGGGAGCUUGCUCCCUGAUUUAGCGGCGGACGGGUGAGUAAUGCCUAGGAAUCUGCCUGGUAGUGGGGGAUAACGUUCCGAAAGGAACGCUAAUACCGCAUACGUCCUACGGGAGAAAGCAGGGGACCUUCGGGCCUUGCGCUAUCAGAUGAGCCUAGGUCGGAUUAGCUAGUUGGUGAGGUAAUGGCUCACCAAGGCGACGAUCCGUAACUGGUCUGAGAGGAUGAUCAGCCACACUGGAACUGAGACACGGUCCAGACUCCUACGGGAGGCAGCAGUGGGGAAUAUUGGACAAUGGGCGAAAGCCUGAUCCAGCCAUGCCGCGUGUGUGAAGAAGGUCUUCGGAUUGUAAAGCACUUUAAGUUGGGAGGAAGGGCUGCUGGUUAAUACCCUGCAGUUUUGACGUUACCAACAGAAUAAGCACCGGCUAACUUCGUG